rnacentral:tRNA from 1 species
AUUUUUAAAUUUAAUUUUAUUUAUAAUAAUUAAAAUUAAGAAUUUAUUUAAGGUAGAUAAUUAAA